CGAAACUCUCUAGAAAUCUCCAUAUCUAUUCCUGUUGAAGACGACGGUUACAGGAAUUGAUAAAAACUCAUCUCAAAUUCGAUUCAUGAUCAGAGUUUUGAUCGAGGAGAAACCGAGAAGGAAUUGUAAAUUUUGGUUUCAUGGCGAUUCAUUUUGAGUAAUCCACUAGUAUCCGCAAUUACUGAACUGUCCAGGGUCACCAAAGCAAAAAAAUGAUAAUAUACAUGCAAAACCUCCCUUGUCGAUUACGUCUCAGAUUCGCAAUGUUCAAGCACCGUGUAAUACAUCUUAUGGCCUGGUGGAUAUAUUUCCAGUAGAAGAUCGCAAAAGUGCUCUACACGAGUCACUCGUGGACAUCAAUGCUCAAGUAGCCACUGCCCAUGACAAUGGAGUGACCGAGCAGCUCCAUUUACAAAUACUGAUUUAAAAUUAUGCACACUGCUCCUGAAAUGCGGAAAGAUGUAAAGUUUGUGGAGAUAUGAUCCCUGCAAGACAUGCUGAAGAACAUUAUCUUGAUGCUCAUGCUCCGGCCAAGGCUAUGAAGGAUCCAGAGAUUCAAAACAAUCUAUCCGAUCUAGUCAGGAGACAGAAGCCAAGAACCCAGCAACAAAAGAGGUAAUGAAGAAGAAAACAUACAAGAACAGACGUCCAAGUGGUGAUAAAAUCUACAAUGUUUCCAACAAUCAACUUCCCGCAGCUCUGGAAAAUUGAAAUUUGAUAAGCAACUCGGGGUGGAGAACGUAUGAAGGAUAAUUACUGAAGUAGAUGGUUACCAAUCACAUCACCCCUGAACAAGCAUAUCGAUGUCUCAUUGAAUCUGCGUUAAUUGUUGUUAGAGGUCAUUCGUUAAUUGCUAUUAGAUGUCAUGCAGAGGUAGCAAUGAUGCAGUAUGCAUUACUUUAACUCGGU